rnacentral:lncRNA from 7 species
UUUCCCCUUUGCCUGCUGGGUCUGUGUGCUUGUGCCAUUAUUUGCUUGUAUGGUAUCAGAGGUGGUGCUCUGAGAAGUAUUGCUUUUCAGAGUGUGUCUAGAAAGAAGAGAGUGCUGAAAGCUGUAUGCGCAAGAUGGAAAGCAAAGAAGAGCAAGACAAACAAAGUUCCUUUGGCAUCGGACAGCGUUCGCACGAAUGACCUGCUCUUUCUCCCUCAAAAAUUAUGGAUUUUGAUUAAUGAAAUGAGGAAGCCAGACUACUUUGUUUUCUACAGCACAUCUAUUAGUAGCUGCAGCCGCAAGCAGAGGAUCUCAGUGGGAAGCACUGCUUUAACAGGCUCCUUGCAGGCAGCUCUGUCACCCUGCGGAUGCUGACAAGAGAGGUCCUGCUCCGGACUGAUCUCAGCACAUGCAGAGGUUGGAAGGCACAGCCUCAUCCAUUCUGGAUUCCCAAAGAUGAACCAGUUUUGGAAGUGACCCGAUACAAUUUGCGGAAGCCAGAACUUUGGGGGAAUAAUUGGACCCUUCUUUAUUUUCUUUCUUUUUUUUUUUUUUCAGCCUAAACAUUCUGUGUGCAUCUGUGCCUUCAAUUUCAUCUUAAAAUUCAGU